rnacentral:lncRNA from 1 species
GAGGAGUUUGGAGUAGGAGUAGGAGUGGUCACAACCGACUUACCUUUAAGACCUGAUUCUGCGGUCUUUAGGAGUCCCUGAAGUUUGUUAAGUGUAACUUCCUCCUUAUUCAUGUGAUAUGUCUUGCAGAAUUGAUCAUAANAUAUGUCUGCAGAAUUGAUCAUAACAUGAAGGUAAGGAGUGCAAAAUAAUAUCUAUUGCCAACUCCUUAGGGAAGUUCACAUUCAACUUCAUCAAUCGAUCCAUAUACCUUUGCAUUUUCUACAUGUGGCUCGUGAUGGGUUCACCAUAUUUCAUUCGAGUUGUGAUCAUAGAGGAGAUGUUUUCAUAUCGCUCUUGAUGAGCACUCUGAUGGUAGCGGUCCAUCAAAUCCUGGUGCAUCUCAAAAGUAUAGUAGUCCUCAUAGGACUUUUGGAGCUCGGCUGUCAUGGUGGCCAUCAUGAUGCAUGCCACUUUUGUAGCAUCUCUUUCAUGAACCUCAUAUUCAGCAAGCUCCUCAGGAGUAGCAGUUGGCUCAGGCACCUUAAGCUCCUUGUCAAGAACAUAUUCCUUGUUCUCGUAAUGAGUGACCAUCCUGAUGUUUCUGAUCCAAUCAGUAAAGUUGGAUCCAUCAAAGAUGACUCUCCCACAAAGGUUCAUGAGAGAGAAGGAGCCAGUAGGGUUUGAGCC